UUAGUGGCGGACGGGUGAGUAACGCGUGGAAAACCUGCCGUAUACUGGGGGAUAACACUUAGAAAUAGGUGCUAAUACCGCAUAAGCGCACAGCUUCGCAUGAAGCGGUGUGAAAAACUCUGGUGGUAUACGAUGGUUCCGCGUCUGAUUAGCUAGUUGGUGGGGUAAUGGCCUACCAAGGCAACGAUCAGUAGCCGGCCUGAGAGGGUGAACGGCCACAUUGGGACUGAGACACGGCCCAAACCCCUACGGAAGGCAGCAG
rnacentral:rRNA from 1 species